AUACGGAGGUCCCAAGCGUUGUUCGGAUUCACUGGGCGUAAAGCGUGCGUAGGCGGAGAGAUAAGUUUGGCGUGAAAGCCCCGGGCCUAACCCGGAAAAUGCGCUGAAAACUAUUUCCCUAGAGGAUUGGAGAGGAGACUGGAAUUCCUGGUGUAGCAGUGAAAUGCGUAGAUAUCAGGAGGAACACCGGUGGCGAAGGCGAGUCUCUGGACAAUUCCUGACGCUGAGGUACGAAGGCCAGGGUAGCGAAAAGGAUUAGAUACCCUUGUAGUCCUGGCAGUAAACGGUGUGCACUUGCUGUAGGCGGAUUCGACCCCGUCUGUGGCGAAGCUAACGCGUUAAGUGCACCGCCUGGGGAGUACGGUCGCAAGAUUAAAACUCAAAGAAAUUGACGGGGCCUGCACAAGCGGUGGAGCAUGUGGCUUAAUUCGGUGCAACGCGAAGAACCUUACCUGGGCUUGACAUGUUCGUCAUACCUGCCUG
rnacentral:rRNA from 1 species